UGGUGGAGUGAUUUGUCUGGUUAAUUCCGAUAACGAACGAGACCUUAACCUGCUAAAUAGUCACGCGAAUCUCGAUUCGUGGCCGACUUCUUAGAGGGACUAUCUGGGUUUACCAGAUGGAAGUUUGAGGCAAUAACA
rnacentral:rRNA from 1 species